AUUGAACGCUGGCGGCAUGCCUUACACAUGCAAGUCGAACGGUAACGCGGGGCAACCUGGCGACGAGUGGCGAACGGGUGAGUGAAGCAUCGGAACGUGCCCAGUAGCGGGGGAUAGCCCGGCGAAAGCCGGAUUAAUACCGCAUACGACCUAUGGGUGAAAGGGGGGGAUCGCAAGACCUCUCGCGAUGGGAGCGGCCGAUGUCAGAUUAGGUAGUUGGGGGGGUAAAGGCCUACCAAGCCGACGAUCUGUAGCUGGUCUGAGUGGACGACCAGCCACACGGGGACUGAGACACGGCCCAGACUCCUACGGGAGGCAGCAGUGGGGAAUGUUGGACAAUGGGCGCAAGCCUGAUCCAGCCAUGCCGCGUGCGGGAAGAAGGCCUUCGGGUUGUAAACCGCUUUUGUCAGGGAAGAAAUCCUUUGGGUUAAUACCUCGGGGGGAUGACGGUACCUGAAGAAUAAGCACCGGCUAACUACGUGCCAGCAGCCGCCGUAA
rnacentral:rRNA from 1 species